UGACAAGGAAAGAAGAAAUGAUGGAGAUUGAAGGAAAAUAUUGCUUACACAAUGCGCUGAGGAUUCCAGAGGAUAGAAUAGGUGUGAAAGUCAGCAGUGGGGUCAAACCAGAGGUGAAAUUGUUGUUCUUUGUCACCUUUGCCAUUUGUGAAUACAUUGGUAUGCAGAGUGUAAGGGUCUGAGGAUUCCAGAGGAUAGAAUAGGUGCUGAGGAUUCCAGAGGAUAGAAUAGGUGUGAAAGUCAGCAGUGGGGUCAAACCAGAGGUGAAAUUGUUGUUCUUUGUCACCUUUGCCAUUUGUGAAUACAUUGGUAUGCAGAGUGUAAGGGUCACCACUUAAAUUCCCCAAGAACUCGAAGUCUAUCUCAUCCCAUGUUGAUCCUGGCGAUUUUAACUGCGUGAACAAAAAGUCAAAGGUCUAUAUGUCAGAUACAUGAUGAUCAAACAUGCAUAUUGUUUAUUCAUAUAAAGGGUGAUGAUCAAACAUGCAUAUUGUUUAUUCAUAUAAAGGCAGGAACUUACAUAAUAAGCAGUGACAGUGCCGGCAGAGUUGCCAGGGACUAGUUUGAGUUGCAUAUCAAUCUUGCCGAAUAGAUACUCAUUCUUGGACUGGAAGCCGGAGCCAGAGGCUUUAUCAAGGGAAAGAGUAAGAAGCUGGCCGUUGUUGAGUAUAUUAGCACGCCCGUCUCCCCAAGUGAUAUCAAAAUCUUGGUGGAAGUUACCAGCAGAGGUAACCAUCAAAGAGCCAAGAAGCAGCAGCGACAGAUGCAAUACUGAAGCCAUGGAAGCUUUCGUCUGAGCAACAACAAGAUAGAAGAAAUUGAGUUGGAGAGAAGUUUGAAAUUUUUUAAAGUGAAGCGAUGAGUGUGUUUAGGACCUUACCAGGGUUUGGUAUUUAUAGCUUGAUUGAGCUGGUGAAGGUGAGUAUAACGAAAGCAGAGGAAAGUAAUGGGAAGCUCCAGUUAGUUCAGCUUCAGCUGUGGCCAGUUGUUUGCGUAAAAUAGCGUGAUGAAAUAAAAACAGCUGUCCGAAUCGCACUAACAGAACACGCUACAACAGGGACUUUUUUUAAUUACAAUACGCGGCUUUGCAUAUUUUUGAGACUCAAGUACUUAUUCUGUACUGCUGUUAUGUUCCCAUCACCGGCUGACUCUUAUUAGCUUUUUUUUUUUCCAGCCACCACCAGUCAAAACACAAAAAAGAAAAUGUAGAAUUCACUGGGUACUCUUCUCUCUCGAGAUUUUCAUUUUUUUUUUUUUUGCAUUUUAUGCUCAAAAGAAAAAGAAAAAGAAAAAAUUGCUCAAUGACCUACUUAAUUAACAGAUUUUUUCGAUAACUAUAUUUAUUAUCAGGAAAUCAUUUAAUUCAAAAGCUUAAGACGUUAAACAGGAGUCCAGAAAAUAGCAUUAAAGUGUUAAAAGACCUGCCCAUGUGAAACAUGGAUCCAGUUUGAAGGUCAUGUCGUUCCAAAAGCGGAGAUAGGAGAUUAAAUUAGAGGUUCUUGAACAUACAAGAAUUGAAACAUAUACGUGUGUUAUUCGCAAAAAAUUGAGCACGCUGAGAUUUGAACAAGAAACCUUUGCUAUGUAAAAACGAAAUUGGCUUGACCCAAGAAAAUUAAAGACAAGUCUUUACUGGAGUCCCUAACACUAAUCAUGGAUCUAACAUCUAAGAAAUAUGUAUCCCAAGAUACCGAUACACAUGCUUCCUAGUAACAUGAAACUGUGAAUUUGUUUCCAAAUUUUAGGUUAAUUGAUAACACAUGCUUCCUGGUGGGUUCGUGUGUAAUAAAACACAUAUAGAACUUGAAGAUAUGCUUAUUAUUAUUAUUAUUAUUAAGGAAUUUAUAGAUAUUGGUAUUUAAAUCGAACGGACUGAAGAUUUUGCUGUGUACAAAAGCCCUGUUUCCUGUUUUGUAUAUUACCACUUAUACUAGAGAAUGUUUAAUUUGUUUAUCUGGAAAGGCGGUGGUGUCCUGGCGGGGUUGACUCGCCUUGAAAAAUCAACACUUGAGAGCUGGCUCGCAGCUUGUCCCCCUCUCAUUAUUAAUUAACACGUACAACAAUAACAGUAUGCAUCACUCUUCCUCAUCGACUUGUGCAAGUUCACUCAGUUAUUUUUUUAGUUUAUUUCUGCCAUUUUACCCUUUUACUGCCUUAUCUAAAUACUAAUCAAUGGCCAAAAUUUCUCCUCGAUUGACACAAAUACGGUAACGCUCACACGCAGUAUAUUUUCUUCUCAUUCUGGUGGAGACUCAUUUGCUCUUAUCUUCAUGCUUCCUCGAUAAUUCGUCAUAUUCCAAUCUAGGGUCUAAAAGCUUUAUUAAUGAGUCAUCAUGUCAAUACCUUUAAUUAGGCUUAUAACUAUAUGCUAAAGCUUACGAAGAAUAACAACAAAGAAGAACAAAAUCUUUUGAAAUAGUAAUAUUAUGUUUACUUAGUUAGCAUACUUAAUUUGUAUACCACGCAAGUACGCAUAACAUUAUCCUUUUUUAAAUUCAUUAACCAGUGUUACAUAUGGUAAAAAUUGGACUAAUAUGCCAUUUUAUUGAUUACAGAGAAACAAAGAAUCUGACUCCAGAAUCUACAUGAAUUGAAUAACCAUUGAAUGAUUACACGAAAGAAUAAAAUAAUUUUUAAGCGUCUUGUUGAUUAUUUUCUCUAGGAGGUUCUGCAUUCUGCAGGAAGGCCCUGAGGAAAUCUCUUUGUAUCAGCGCAGUAAUUGUAAAUCAUGUAAUUCUUCUGCACCCAUUUCAGCCUACUUUGAUUUGUUGAAUCUAGCUCUUGUGAGAACCAAGCACCGUUGCUGGAUGUAGAGGAAGCAGAAUUUGAAGCGCAAGAAGAUUUUCCAUUAGACCAAACACAAGCUUCAGCAUUAAAGUUUCUGUAGGAAGCAGUGAAAGGAGCAUGUGUCCAAUCUGUCUUCACGAGGCCACCUCUUGUGGCCCAGUCAUCAGCAUUCCAGAGAGAAGAGUAUAUUCUCAUUGGCUGAUUCUUUGGGAACGGAACGCCAAUUGACUCUGAGUUCUUAAAUUCUCUUAUGGGCGUGCCAUCAACAGAGAAGCUGAAAAUUAAGUAAACAUUGAUAAGUCUAAGCAGAUUGAAUGACAAGGAAAAAAAACUAAUGAUGGAGAUUGAAGGAAAAUAUUACUUACACAAUGCGCUGAGGAUUCCAGAGGAUAGAAUAGGUGUGAAAGUCAGCAGCGGGGUCAAACCAGAGGUGAAAUUGUUGCUCUCUGUCACCUUUGCCAUUUGUAAAGACAUUGGUAUGAAGAGUGUAAGGGUCACCACUUAAAUUUCCCAAGAAUUCAAAGUCUAUCUCAUCCCAUGUUGAUCCCGGUGAUUUUAGCUGCAUUAAAAAAAAAAAAAAACAGAUAUUUAUAUGUAUCAUCACAUAUGAUUAUUCAACUACGACCCAGUUUGCAUGCAUAAUACUUGCGUAUGAUUAAGUUGUAUUAAAAGAAGGAACUUACGUAAUAAGCAGUGACAGUGCCAGCAGAGUUGCCUGGGACAAGCUUGAGCUGCAUGUCAAUCUUGCCGUAUAGAUACUCAUUCUUGGACUGGAAUCCUGAGCCAGAAGCUUUAUCGAGGGAAAGAGUAAGAAGGUCGCCAUUGUUGAGCAUCUUGGCACGGCCAUCUCCCCAGGUGAUGUCAAAAUCUUUGUAGAAGUUACCAGCAGAUGCAACCAUCAAAGAGCCAAGCACAAGAAACAAAUGCAACGUUGAAGCCAUUGACAUAUGCUUGAGCAAACGAGGUACAAGUAGUGUUUGAAUUAACUGAGAGAAGUUUGUAAUUCGAAAGUGGAGCGAUGAAUGUGUUUAAGACCAUUGUGUUGUAUUUAUAGCCGGUGAAGAUGGGAAAUGUAAAAUGCAGAGGAAAGUGAAGGGAAAGGUCCAGUGAGCUCGGCUGUGGACAGUUGUUGGCUUGAAAAAAGUAUAAUAAAAUAGCUGUGCAUAUCGCACUAACAAGCAUUAUCCGACCAGCCAUAUUUUAUUAUAGCACGCGGUUUUUGCAUUAUUUUUGGGACCAAACGACUUCCGUUUAGUUUAGUAUGUGCCGCUGUCGUGGUCCCACUACCAGCUGACUCUUAUUAGAUUUUCCCACCGCCACUACUAAAGACAGUUGAAUUCACAUGAUGCGACCCUCUCUUCAGAUUUUCAGCUUUUUUUAUUAAUUGAUUCUCAAGGCAAGAGCAAAUGAAUAAUAUUAUAAUAAUACUAAGAAUAACAUAGAACUUAUUAAGAAAUUCCAGAAUUGAAAAUUCUCCUCACUAGCAAUUCAGUGUUCACCCAAGUGACAAUUAUGUUAUAUUUAUUCUGUUUGAAUUCUUAAUUUAGUAACUCCAAAAUUAAUCUUUUAUUGUCAUGUAUAUAAUAUUUAUUUUAUUAUUAAUUAUUUGUUAUCAACCUAAUUAAUAAAUGAUACAUAAAAUGUAAUAUUAAGGAGGAGACAAACUAAAUAUCCGAAUUGGGUUGGCAAUAACCGCAUGACAUUACUCAAAUUUUAUGUUACUGGCGUUGUCUAACACGCGAGACGGUGGUGGGUUUCGCUUGCCAUUCACUUGGACCUAACUGUAUGUAAAAUGAAUGUUUGUUUUGAAAAGGGAACUAGGCGGCGCCUUGUCUUCCCUUUCUUUAUAAACAAUUAACAAAUCAAGCAAAACCGCGUCUGGAAAACUUGGUCUGCGCCAUUUUAAUGAACAGUCAUUUGCUACAUUACUUUGCCAACUAUUACCAAAACGUACUGAAGUUUCCCGUGUAUCUUCUCUCCGUUCAACUCUGCCUAAACUUAUAGGAUAAAAACACCAACUAAGCACAACCUUUUCAUCAUUUCAGAUUCUUUUACAUUUCUAAUACUAUUCACAUGCAAAACAUUCCAGUGGCUUGCUUUCUAGUUUCUUCAUAUAUUCCGUCCAUGUUGAUGGUCAGUUUUGUGAUUUUCUCUCUAAUUGUAGCUUCUUCUGCUAACUUCUACCAAGAUUUUGAUAAUACUCGGGGAGAUAGACUUUGAAUUCUUGGGCAAUUUAAGUGGUGACCCUUACACUCUGCACACCAAUGUAUUCACAAAUGGCAAAGGUGACAGAGAGCAACAAUUUCACCUCUGGUUUGACCUUACUGCCGAUUUUCAUACCUAUUCCAUCCUCUGGAAUCCUCAGCGCAUUGUGUAAGUACUGUUUUUUUCCCUGUCGUUAAUUUGCUUAGACUUAUAACUUUUUUCAUUGUAAUUUCCAGCUUCUCUGUUGAUGGCACCCCCAUAAGAGAAUUCAAGAACUCAGAAUCAAUUGGAGUGCCAUUUCUAAAGAAUCAACCAAUGAGGAUGUACUCUUCUCUACGGAAUGCUGAUGACUAGGCUACAAGAGGUGGCCUUAUCAAGACACAAUGGACACAUGCUCCUUUCGCCGCUUCUUAUAGAAACUUCAAUGCUGAUGCAUGUGUCUCGUCUAAUGGAAUAUCUUCUUGUGCUUCAAGUUCACCUUCCUCUCCAUAUAUCCAACGGCUGCUCCUGGUUCUCACAAGAGCUUGAUUCAACAAGUUAAGAAAGGCUGAAAUGGGUACAAAAGACAUACAUGAUUUACAACUACUGCACCGACGCAAAGAGAUUUCCUCAAGGCCUUCCUUUGAAAAGAAAAAAUCUCCUAAAGAAGUGAUUAAAUCAAACAGAUAAAUCAGUGUAAACUUAUUACAUUCAAUUAUAUGCUCUCUGUAGAGCUAUUCUUUGCAGUCUUGGUCAUCAAUAAAAAGACAGAUUUGUCAUUCUUUAUAUCAGAAGUGUUAUAAUACGAAUUUUAUUGGAAAGAUGCAGAUGUGAUUUAUUAUAAAUUCAAUAUACUUAAUGUAAAAAGACUUAAAAGAUUGAGCUUUACUCAUCUAAAGUUCUCACAGACCAUAUCAACGUGAUCCCUUUCUAGCAUAUUCGCAUCUUAAUUCAUAUGAUAACUGAUACAACAUCAAUACUAUUAUUAUAACUUUAUUUUGAUAUUACAACAUAAAGUUUGAGCAUGAAAUAAACUACAUUAUUUACUUUAACUGUAGAAAUCAAAAUUAGAAUAAAUUGUAUUAUCAUUGAUGUGUUUAGUUUGUCUUGAAAUCUUAGUCAUAAUAAAUUAGACUGUCAUAAAUUACUAAAAAGUUUUUAAUUAAUUAUUAUCAUAAUUAUUAUUUUAUAUUUUAAUUAAUGUAAUUAUUGUUAUUCAGAAAUUAUUAUUAUUAAUUAUUGUUAAUAAUAAUAAUAAUAUCAUUAACAUGAAUAUAUUAAUUAUAAUAUUUUUUUAUCAAUAAUAAUGAUAAUAAUACAUUUGAAAAUCAUAAUAACAAUAAUAAUAAUCAAAAUCAUCAUCAUCAACGACAACAACAAAUCAAAAUCGGAUUUGGAUCAUAAUAUCAUCGUCGUUGUCGACAUCAUCAUCGGUGAUGGUUGUUGUUGCUAGAUCGUUGUUGCUAUUGCUCCUGCUCAACGGUCAGCGACGACCAAUGACGUUGAUUUUUGCAGUAACAGUUUGGUGAAGACGAUGAAAAUCGGUGAGGCUUCAAUUUACAGCGACUGUUUGCUGUGGUUUUUUUUUCUAUUUAAAUUUUUUUAAUUGAAUGAAGGUGUUGAUGCUGAAAUCUGCUCGCCUCUUGACCGACCAGAUUCUUUCACCAACGUUUGUGUUAUCUACUGUUGCUCGUUCACUGGGAUUGGAAUCGUCCUCCUUUCUCUCAAUAGACCUGCACUCACUAAAAAUGGAUCAGAGACGCCGGUGGUUUUGCCGGCGUAAACCCUCCGAUGCCUAAGUUAGCACAAGGUGUUUACGGGAAAACAGUGUAAUUUGGAUUCCAGGAGCUUAUUAAAAAUUUGUAAGGAAAUGGCCUAGUUGCAAUUUGGCAGCGUUUUCCCUCUCUCUUUUUUUUUUUCCCCUUUCUUCACCGAUUUCUUCUUCUUUUAUAGCCGCUGUCCCCACGUUUCCGUUUGCCAUUCAUCCCACCUUUUUCGGGUAGUGGCAGCCCCUCAUGGGAUUUUAACUGCUACAUUGUGGGCAAACGUGGGAUCUCGCAUCUCCCACAACGGUUCUGGGAAAAGCGCAACUACCGCGAUUCUGUGGGAUCGUGUUUCCGCUUUUUGAGGGACGGGUACCGACUCGGUAUACGACUCUGGUCGGUAUUCGUCUCUGAUCAGCUCAUGUUACCCCCUGUUCUGCUCGUACCAUUUGGCUGAGGUGAUUCAUGCCGGGGUGGAAAUAGUAGCAUGGCCGACCUGGUGCUUUUAUUUGCUUAACACCAGUCCCCCAGUUUUUGGUCUUGUGAGUGAAAUGAGUCAAGAGUAGAAACUGAUAGUCAAAUCUUACCAAUCCAGGGGCUUCUCCUCUGAUCUUUCGUCUACCGGGAUGGACCUGAGGUAUCAUUUUUCUUCAGGGGAGAUUUUGACCUGAGCAUGGGCCUAAAUGAGUAUGUCCAUUGCGUAUCUGGGCUUGCAUCUAGCCUGGCCUCUUAUAACGAUUGGUGACGUGGCAUCUCCCGACUCUUCGUAUUUGAAAUUUGAAACGACGGGCUAUCUGUCCUUGAUGUACGGUGAGUGAGCUGGCGUCUCUAUCACUUAAAUGCUUUCAUUUCCCCUUUUUCGUUUCAAAUCCCUAGACUUAUAUCUGCAUCGCUUUGUUAUUCAUCUCUUCAUCGUUAACUAACUCCCUCUCUGAACUUUGCUUACACUUCUCGUGUCUGGAGUAUCCACUCGCUGAAUUUUUUCUCUAUCACGGUCGCGCUAUCAGUGCCAGUUCAAUCCAGGUAUUGCCUUUAACUUCUCCUCUGGUUAUUGUUGAUUGGGUUCUGUGUUGCCCUUUUUGUGUCCAUAUACUCGAGUUUUCUUUGUUUUCUUUUGAGGUUCUGAUAUGUCAAACCGAAAAAGAAAGUUAAUUGUUGAUGAGGAUGAUGAAGAAUCAGGGGAUUCAGGCCUCAACGUGUCAAUACCCACCUAUUUCUUAGGUCCCUCCAGUAAUGUAGGUCCUUCCCAUGGCAGGGAUACCCUUGAGUACCCACGCCCCUUGGUUGUCUCUUCCUUUCCCGAACUAGAGCUUGUAGGGAAUAGAGGUGGACUUGCGUCGGGAUCUGGUGAGAACCACAGCUUUGGUGGGGUUGGGAUCCGUGAAGGAGUUGGCGAUGGUGAGGGGAGCAGUUCCGGACCGAGCGGUCUUGCUAAGAAAAGGAAUAUUGGCCAUAGGGUGGAGGCUGAUUUCUACCCUAUUGAUUACAUAGCCUGUGCCACCACCCAAACUGACUUAUUCAAGCUUAGGAACCUCUACGACAUUCCUGAGGAGGUUCUUCUUGUAGUUCCUGGGAAGGGUGACGUUCCUAGUCGGCCUCCACGGGGGUAUGUGACAAUGCACCUAGAGAGUUUCAAACUAGGAGCUCGGCUGCCCCUUCAGCGUUAUUUUUCCAAAAUAUUGGGGGGUAUGCACCUGGCCCCAGAUCAGCUACACCCGAACGGGUGGAGGGUUCUCUCGGCAAUGUUUGUGUUGUGGUAGAGGUGCGGGUCGGAGGAGCCUUCCCUUGUUGAAGUGAAACAUCUGUAUCAGCUGCGGAGCAGCCCAAGGGAGGCGGGCUGGUAUUACUUCAUGUCCAGUUCCGCAAAGAGAAAGCCAAUCACUGGUUUCCCCUCCUCGUGCAAAAAUUGGAAGAACAAAUUCUUCUUUGCUGGGGGAAAGUGGUGUUCAGCACUCCGUUCGUUGGGUGGUGAUAUUUACCUUCCAACGCAGUUUGUCACCCCAGGUCGUUCAUUUUUUGCCUAUAUUCCUUCUCAAACUGUCACUUAUCGAGUUCUUUAACCUCUUUUGCUAUUUCAGAGUCGUGGGGUUUGAUCGGGGGGCUUAAAGAUUGACCUUUGCUUCAGGUGGAAACUGCUCUGUUGAACGCGUCUACCUGCCAAGACCUCCUGUCGCCAACAAACCUGGUCGGUUCGGGCCUAGUAGACAUAGCCGCUGGAAUGGAUAACAAAAUCCUUAGCGCGAUGAGCAGGAAGCGUGGUCGGGCUCCGAGUAGCUCCAACAACCUUCCCCCUCCUCCAAAGAAACCCAGCGUCUGUCUUUCCAAGGCGCCUGUUCCUGCUCUGCCCCCUCCUCCACCUCGUAAGAGUGGUGGGGAGAAAACCUACGACAAGAGUCCUGAGGUCAGCUUGCAAUCUGAGGACCGAUCUUCUCCUCUUCUAUCUCGGGAUCAAGGUGACUACCUGAGCCCAUAUCAGAAGGAUUAUAAAAAAUCGGUUGGGCCCAAGAUGGUGAAGGACAUCGAGAGCAUGAGUCUCUCCGAGUUAGCUGCUUUUAUUCAAAGAGUCUCCUUCAGGUUGUCCACAAUGGUCUCGUGCUACAAGACCGGGUCCGCGCGUCAUGAGAAGAAGCUUCAAGCUGACAAUCAGGAGUUGAAAAAGAAAGCUGAAUCUGCUGACCGCUCCAAGGAGAAACUAGCCGAGCUGAACAAGCAGAUUACAGAGCUGGAGGAGAAAGUUGCAGUUGCUGAGUCUACUGCCUCCAGGUUUGAGGGUGAGUUGGAUGGCCUGAAGUCGGACCUUCAGGUAACUCAAAGUGAAAGAGAUACUUUGAGGACCGCCCUUGAGGGAGAAAUCAAAUCCCUGAAUGAGCAGCUGGCUGAGGAGAAAGGCAAAUCCGCUGAUGUGGACGAUCGGUUGGAUGCCGAGUAUGACUCGGGGGUUGCUUUCUCCUAUAAGUGUAUCAUGUCUGUGCUUCAGGGAGAAUAUCCCGAGCUGGACAUGAGCAAGUUGGAGGCUGGAGUGCAGCGGUAUAUGGCAGAGGUCGGCCAGGCGGACAAUGAGCAGGGUGAGCAGGAUCAGGUGGAGGCUCCUUUGGAUGAGGUGCAAGAGGGGGAAGCUGGGGGACGUCCUUUCGAAGUGGGUCAAGGGUCCAUGCCUCCUCCUCCCGGCAUUGCUGAUCUCCCACCUCCUGAACUGCUGUACGGCCAAGGCGGAUGUACGGUACAGCAGUUUGUAAACAAUUGAACAUUUAUAAAUUUUUAGAUGCUCUUUAUUUGCUUUCUUGUUCGGUUUUUGCUAAUAGAUUGUUUCUGAAAAACAAUUGGAUAACUUAUCUGAUUUUGCCUGCUGGUUCCUUAGCGAACUGAGCAGGAGUAGACAUUUACUUGCCUUAGUAAAAUUUCCAUAAAACUGGUUGCUUGUCUUCAUUGACCGAGCCGAACUAGGCACUUACUUGCCUUAAUAGGAUUUUUUGUAGAAUUAGCUGCUGGUCUUUCGUUGACCGAGCAGAAGUAGGCAUUUACUUGCCUUAGUAGGAUCUUCGUAGAUUUAGCUGCUGGUCUUUCGUUGACCGAGCAGAAGUAGGCAUUUACUUGCCUUAGUAGGAUCUUCGUAGAUUUAGCUGCUGGUCUUUCGUUGACCGAGCAGAAGUAGGCACUUACUUGCCUUAGUAGAAUCUUCGUAAAUUUAGCUGCUGGUCUUUGGUUAACCGAGCAGAAGUAGGCGCUUACUUGCCUUAGUAGAAUCUUCGUAGAUUUAGCUGCUGGUCUUUCGUUGACCGAGCAGAAGUAGGCACUUACUUGCCUUAGUAGAAUCUUGGUAAAUUUAACUACUGGUCUUUCGUUGACCGAGCAGAAGUAGGCACUUACUUGUCUUAGUAAGAUUUUUUGCUUCAAGCUGACAAUCAGGAGUUGAAAAAGAAAGCUGAAUCUGCUGACCGCUCCAAGGAGAAACUAGCCGAGCUGAACAAGCAGAUUACAGAGCUGGAGGAGAAAGUUGCAGUUGCUGAGUCCACUGCCUCCAAGUUUGAGGGUGAGUUGGGUGGCCUGAAGUCGGACCUUCAGGUAACUCAAAGUGAAAGAGAUACUUUGAGGACCGCCCUUGUGGGAGAAAUCAAAUCCCUGAAUGAGCAGCUGGCUGAGGAGAAAGGCAAAUCCGCUGAUGUGGACGAUCGGUUGGAUGCCGAGUAUGACUCGGGGGUCUCCUGGUCCCGUGGCUCGUAUUACUCUAUACGGGCCUUUCCAUUUUGGGCCAAGAGCACCAUGGUUGGGAUCCCUAGUAUUUUGAUUCACCUUCCUAAGUACCCAAUCUCCUGCUCGGAACUGCCUCACGCGUACAUUCUUGUUGUAAUAACGCGUGACCCUUUGCUGACACUGGGCCACUUUCUGUGAGGCCCCUUCCAUUUUCUCCUCAAGUAGGUCCAGGCUUAAGCAGAUCUGCUCGUCAUUUUCUUCCUCAGCGAAAUAUUCCGUUCGAUGUGUCCCCACUCCAAUCUCUGCUGGGACUACUGCCUCAUGACCAAAAGAUAAAGCGAACGGGGUUUCCCCUGUAGCAGUUUUGUGAGUUGUCCGGUAAGCCCACAAUACCCCUGGUAGCUCGUCAACCCAAGCUCAUUUUUUGAUUGCCAACUUGUGGCAAGCUACCCCGCGAUCAAUUCCGGGCAUAUCUUCAUGAGACCAGGCGAAUAUAUCCGCAUGAGACUGUAGGCAAUUUAUCAGUUCGCCUUUUAUUGCCCCAACCAAUCCUGACCCGAUCUUCACUACUCUGCUCGGGUUGCUUUUGCUUACCGCAACUUCCUCCAGUUUCUCAACAGGCUCUUGGCGGCCCUUUUUAGAGUCUCCUCGAUUAUCUAGAGAGGUAACCUGCAGUGUCUCCUUGGCCGCUGUAGCAUAACAACUCCUUGCCAUCCUCUGGUCACCUUUUACUACGCCAACCACCCCAUUUACUCUGUAUUUCAGUGCCAAGUAAUGCGUGGAUACAACGCAUUGGCUUAUCCUCAUGAAUGGUCUCCCCAGUAUCAUCUGGUAAGGGCUUCUUUCCUCUACCACGACAAAAUCCAGCAUCAUUGUUCUUUCAAAUGGUUUUGUCCCUAUAGUAAUUGGGAGUUCGAUGAUCCCCAUGAGAGUUAACCGUCCCCCUCCAAAUCCCUUUAAGGAUGUAUUUGUCCGCUCAAAUUUCAAGUCUGCGAUCCCCAUAUCAUCUAGAGCCAACUUAAACAGGAUGUCAACCGAGCUGCCUGUGUCUACUAGUAUUCGUCGCAAUUCUGUACCGACCACCAUUGCCUUGAUCACCAAUGCAUCCUCAUGCGGAUAUAAGAUACCCUCUUCAUCGUCAUCUGUCCACAUAAUGGGAACUUGCCGCACUUUUGCCUUCUUGGUUGCCGGCAAAUUGAAAAGCACUUCUUUGCUAGUCAGGGCAUAUCUCCCAUAGUUCUUCCGUGCCCUGUUCGAAUCCCCGGCCAAUGUUGGCCCUCCUGCUAUUACACGGAUGGUCGGCUGUUCACAUUCCAAAUCCCUCUCAACCCCUUCAUCCCGUGUAUAUUGUGAUUCCAUGACAAGGGACAUUCCAUCUACAUACUCGUCUGUUGUAAUAACGCGUGACCCUUUGCUGACACUGGGCCACUUUCUGUGAGGCCCCUUCCAUUUUCUCCUCAAGUAGGUCCAGGCUUAAGCAGAUCUGCUCGUCAUUUUCUAUCAGCUGAACUGCUCGGUUAUCAUGAAUGUCACCUCGGGCUGACACAGUCGCUAACUGAUCUGGUCGACUAGCCAUGGAAUUAGUUGCAUGUGAUGCUCUGGGAGUGUUGUGAUAGGGGUGGGCAGCCAUCUGCCGGAAUUCUCUUUGCCGAUCCGGGAAUGGGGGACGCGGAGGUUGAGCCCGGUUGUGCUGGAACUGCUGUGAUCUCAGAGCCAUGGGGUAAGGGCGGGACCGAGCCGAUAUUCCGCCCAUCACUGAAGAUUCUCCAGCUCGUUUUCCCGACCCGCUCCCUGUCGGGACUCUCCGUUCCUUUCGCCUCAGCUCGUCCAGCUGUUCACUUUUUAUUCUUGCCGAUUUCUCCUCUUCGAUUUCUAUAUCUCGCCUCGCCUGCUCAUACCCCGACGAGUAAUUCUGUACAAGGGGGCUUCUUAAGUUAUACCAUAGUCGGCCGAUUCUUACACCUUCUUUUAAUCCCCUCAACGCCUGCGGGUGAUUAAAAGCUCCCAGAUCCAGCACGGCUCGGUGAUAUCUUUUUACAACCAUUUUGGGCCAAGAGCACCAUGGUUGGGAUCCCUAGUAUUUUGAUUCACCUUCCUAAGUACCCAAUCUCCUGCUCGGAACUGCCUCACGCGUACAUUCUUGUUGUAAUAACGCGUGACCCUUUGCUGACACUGGGCCACUUUCUGUGAGGCCCCUUCCAUUUUCUCCUCAAGUAGGUCCAGGCUUAAGCAGAUCUGCUCGUCAUUUUCUUCCUCAGCGAAAUAUUCCGUUCGAUGUGUCCCCACUCCAAUCUCUGCUGGGACUACUGCCUCAUGACCAAAAGAUAAAGCGAACGGGGUUUCCCCUGUAGCAGUUUUGUGAGUUGUCCGGUAAGCCCACAAUACCCCUGGUAGCUCGUCAACCCAAGCUCAUUGCAGAAUCUGCUCUUAUCCCGUCGGUGAGUCGGUUUUGUUAUUGGGGCUGGAGGGUACAGCAAGCUUCGUCCCUCGAUCCUCUCAUACAAUUCCUCCAUGGAGAUCUUUAACGGAGUGUACUGUCUAUACGCCAAGCUCUGGUCUAUCAGCUGAACUGCUCGGUUAUCAUGAAUGUCACCUCGGGCUGACACAGUCGCUAACUGAUCUGGUCGACUAGCCAUGGAAUUAGUUGCAUGUGAUGCUCUGGGAGUGUUGUGAUAGGGGUGGGCAGCCAUCUGCCGGAAUUCUCUUUGCCGAUCCGGGAAUGGGGGACGCGGAGGUUGAGCCCGGUUGUGCUGGAACUGCUGUGAUCUCAGAGCCAUGGGGUAAGGGCGGGACCGAGCCGAUAUUCCGCCCAUCACUGAAGAUUCUCCAGCUCGUUUUCCCGACCCGCUCCCUGUCGGGACUCUCCGUUCCUUUCGCCUCAGCUCGUCCAGCUGUUCACUUUUUAUUCUUGCCGAUUUCUCCUCUUCGAUUUCUAUAUCUCGCCUCGCCUGCUCAUACCCCGACGAGUAAUUCUGUACAAGGGGGCUUCUUAAGUUAUACCACAGUCGGCCGAUUCUUACACCUUCUUUUAAUCCCCUCAACGCCUGCGGGUGAUUAAAAGCUCCCAGAUCCAGCACGGCUCGGUGAUAUCUUUUUACAAAAUCUCGAAGGGAUUCAUGCUCCUCCUGUUUCAUCCCCAUCAGUUCCAUCAUAUCGUCCUCUGGGGCCAUUGCCCCUCGGAACUGCUCGGCCAACUCCUGGCACAUCUGCUCAUACCCUUUUAUACUUCCUCGGGGCAGCUUGCGGUACCAUUCUCGGGCUCGUCCCUCUAAUGUCAACGGGAACACCCUGCACCUCUGAGCUGAUGUCAGCCCCUGCACACCCGUCAUGUCGUUGAAACGCUCAAUGUGCACCAGCGGGACAUUUCGCCCGGAGUAUUUGAGGUCGGGGAAGCGGAAAUCUCUUGGGAUUAUGGUACUCAUGAUCUCAGUUGAUAACAGAGAUUCUUCAUCUAGCAUUAUCCUCCAGGUCGAGGCUUUCUCUUGCCCUGUAUCUCCUCUAUCACCUACGCCAAUCUGCGCACCUCCCCCUCCAAUUCUAAGGCACGGUCAGGAUCACGUGCAGCUAUAUGGUCUCGUUCCAGCUCGGCAUUGUGUAACCGCUAUCUGAGCUCUCCUUCGUCAACACUGGCACCUCGGCCAUUGACUUCCAGGACCUGUCCGGGGCGAGGUUGGUCCCUCCCUUCAUCCACGCGUUCUCCCGGGACCCGACCAGUACUUCUGUGGGGAUGCACCCCAUUAGGUUGGUCUGCGGGCGGAGGGAUUUCCUCGACUCUACGCCUCCGAAGGCUGGGUUCUACUCCAACUUCAUCUCUUCCCACGGGGGUUUCACAAUCCCUUCUCCGCUCAUCCCUCAGCUCGAACAAUAUGGUUGCGAGAGUCUCCAUUUGUUUCUCCAUCCGCUCCAGUCUAUCUUGCAUCAUCUUCUCUCGGGCUUCAUUUGCAAUUUCCCGGAGAGUGACUGUCUCCCCAGCUUCGUUAUCCUCCCUCAAAGCGUCCUUCCUUGUCACAUCCAUGCCUAACCGUUCGCUGUUUUUCCAGUAACUACUAAUUCGGUGGUAGCUUUUUAUCCAGNNNNNNNNNNNNNNNNNNNNNNNNNNNNNNNNNNNNNNNNNNNNNNNNNNNNNNNNNNNNNNNNNNNNNNNNNNNNNNNNNNNNNNNNNNNNNNNNNNNNNNNNNNNNNNNNNNNNNNNNNNNNNNNNNNNNNNNNNNNNNNNNNNNNNNNNNNNNNNNNNNNNNNNNNNNNNNNNNNNNNNNNNNNNNNNNNNNNNNNNNNNNNNNNNNNNNNNNNNNNNNNNNNNNNNNNNNNNNNNNNNNNNNNNNNNNNNNNNNNNNNNNNNNNNNNNNNNNNNNNNNNNNNNNNNNNNNNNNNNNNNNNNNNNNNNNNNNNNNNNNNNNNNNNNNNNNNNNNNNNNNNNNNNNNNNNNNNNNNNNNNNNNNNNNNNNNNNNNNNNNNNNNNNNNNNNNNNNNNNNNNNNNNNNNNNNNNNNNNNNNNNNNNNNNNNNNNNNNNNNNNNNNNNNNNNNNNNNNNNNNNNNNNNNNNNNNNNNNNNNNNNNNNNNNNNNNNNNNNNNNNNNNNNNNNNNNNNNNNNNNNNNNNNNNNNNNNNNNNNNNNNNNNNNNNNNNNNNNNNNNNNGUUGAUAACGGAGAUUCUUCAUCUAGCAUUAUCCUCCAGCUCGGGGGCUUUCUCUUGCCCUGUAUCUUCUCUAUCACCUGUGCCAAUCUGCGCACCUCCUCCUCCAAUUCUACGGCACGAUCAGGAUCACGUGCAGCUAUAUGGUCUCGUUCCAGCUUGGCAUUGUGUAACCGCUGUCUGAGCUCUCCUUCGUCAACACUGGCACCUCGGCCAUUGACUUCCAGGACCUGUCCGGGGCGAGGUUGGUCCCUCCCUUCAUCCACGCGUUCUCCCGGGACCCGACCAGUACUUCUGUGGGGAUGCACCCCAUUAGGUUGGUCUGCGGGCGGAGGGAUUUCCUCUACUCUACGCCUCCGGAGGCUGGGUUCUGCUCCAACUUCAUCUCUUCCCACGGGGGUUUCACAAUCCCUUCUCCGCUCAUCCCUCAGCUCGAACAAUAUGGUUGCGAGAGUCUCCAUUUGUUUCUCCAUCCGCUCCAGUCUAUCUUGCAUCAUCUUCUCUCGGGCUUCAUUUGCAAUUUCCCGGAGAGUGACUGUCUCCCCAGCUUCGUUAUCCUCCCUCAAAGCGUCCUUCCUUGUCACAUCCAUGCCUAACUGUUCGCUGUUUUUCCGGUAACUACUAAUUCGGUGGUAGCUUUUUAUCCAGCUCCCCACAGACGGCGCCAAAAUGUUGAUGCUGAAAUCUGCUCGCCUCUUGACCGACCAGAUUCUUUCACCAACGUUUGUGUUAUCUACUGUUGCUUGUUCACUAGGAUUGGAAUCGUCCUUCUUUCUCUCAAUAGACCUGCACUCACUAAAAAUGGAUCAGAGACGCCGGUGGUUUUACCGGCGUAAACCCUCCGAUGCCUAAGUUAGCACAAGGUGUUUACAGGAAAACAGUGUAAUUUGGAUUCCAGGAGCUUAUUAAAAAUUUGUAAGGAAAUGGCCUAGUUGCAAUUUGGCAGCGUUUUCCCUCUCUCUCUUUUUUUCCCCUUUCUUCACCGAUUUCUUCUUCUUUUAUAGCCGUUGUCCCCACGUUUCCGUUUGCCAUUCAUCUCACCUUUUUCGGGUAGUGGCAGCCCCUUAUGGGAUUUUAACUGCUACAUUGUGGGCAAACGUGGGAUCUCGCAUCUCCCACAACGGUUCUGGGAAAAGCGCAACUACCGCGAUUCUGUGGGAUCGUAUUUCCGCUUUUUGGGGGACGGGUACCGGCUCGGUAUACAACUCUGGUCGGUAUUCGUCUCUGAUCAGCUCAUGUUACCCCCUGUUCUGCUCGUACCAUUUGGCUGAGGUGAUUCAUGCCGGGGUGGAAAUAGUAGCAUGGCCGACCUGGUGCUUUUAUUUGCUUAACAGAAGGUAUUUUCAGAAUGUUAAAAUUUCAAUGGGAACAGAUUUUUUAUUCCCAAAAAUCGAUCGUUGAGAAUUAGUCUCGCAUUUUCAUGCUUAUUUUAGUCUUUCAUUUUGAUGCUUAUUUUGUAAAGUAAAUGCUAUUAAUAAUUUCGAUUCUCCAAUCAAGAAAGUAAACAUAAGUAAACAUCGCAGUAAUGUAUAACUAUAGCAAAUUUAUGAUAUAAAGUAUUGUCAUUAUAUAUAUGUUUAUACUCGCGCGGAAUCUACGUAAGCACUCGUGGCCACAGCACACUCAAGAGGAAGCCCUUUUGGGAAGCGCUUUGUGUCUGUACAAUAAUUAUAAAUCAUGUAAUUCUUCUGCACCCACUUGAGUUUCUCUCGGCUUGUUUCAUCAAGCUCAUCGAUCUUCAUCCAUGCAGAGGAUGAAGAAUUCGAAGGGCAAGGCGCAGAAAUGAUUGGACCUGCUGGGUAACGAAUGCAAGUUUUGGCAUUAAAGUUUCUACAAGAAGCUGUAAAUGGAGCUUUUGUCCAAUCUGUUUUGACAAGACCGCCUCUUGUUGCCCAGUCAUCAGCGUUCCAGAGACUCGAGUGUAUUCUCAUUGGUUGGUUUUUUGGGUAAGGAAUGUUGAUUGACUCCAAGUUCUUGAACUCUCUAAUCGGUGUGCCAUCGACAUAGAAUCUGAAAACGUUUUUAAACAAAAAUGUUAGAGAGCCUUUUUAACCCAAAAGAGCCCAAAGAAUAUAUGAAGUAUUAAACCAAAAAAAAGAGACACGUCUAAUAAAAAAAAGAAGAGGAUUAAUUAGUGACUUGAAUUGUUGCUUGUUUUCAACAAGAGAUGAUUAGUGGAUUGAAAUUCUUACACGAUGGUUUUGGGAUUCCAGAGAAUGGAAUAUGUGUGAAAAUCUGAAGUGGGAUCAAACCAGGGAUAAAAUUGCUGCUCUCUGUCACCUUUGCCUUGUGUGAUUACAUUUGUGUGAAAAAUAUAAGGAUCGCCACUGAGAUUUCCCAAGAACUCAAAGUCUAUCUCAUCCCAUGUUGAUCCUUGUGAUGACAACUAUAACACAGAAUUAAAAAUAAGCUUACUCUUAAAGAGAAAAACAUUUUCGUGCAAGAUCACUGGCAGCUUACGCCUUACAUAGUAAGAUGUGACAGUGCCAGCAGAGUUGCCUGGGACAAGCUUGAAUUGCAUGUCAAUUUUGCCAAAUAGAUACUCAUUCUUGGACUGGAAACCUGAGCCUGUGUCUUUGCCAAGGUAAAGAUUGAGGACUUCUCCAUCGUUGCGAAUCCUGACCUUGUCAAUUCCCCAUAUGAUGUCAAAAUCUUGAUAAAAAUUACUAGCUGGUAAAACUAACACAAAAGAGUUAGAUAAUAAAGCAGACAGCAUUAUCAGCACUACUAGUGAUUUAGCCGCAGCCAUUGUGCGAUAUUUAAAAUUUUGUUAUAGUUUUGGAUUUUUAUAGAGACGAAAAGAAAGAAGCGAUUUGCCAUUUGGAAAAAGAAAAAUGAAAAUUUUAAGAGAUAAGAUAGAUGAUGGGGAAGAGUUAGAGUCAAGGAUUAGGCUAGCACUUGUGGGGCAAAGAGCAAGAGCGGGAAACAGAUGGCAAAGACUGAAAUUAGUGAAAAGAAACUGCGAAAAUGCGGAUUUAUGCAUGUCACACAAGUGACAGCCCUAAGCAUGGUUUAUUAACACGUUGAAAUUUUGGCUGAUGGGUGCUUUUUGACCACUCUAUAUAGUUUCCGCAUCUACUGACCGGCUGGGCUCAGCCCUAUGUGAUUAGGAUGACUUUGGAGCAGUUUCCGUACUUAGAAUAGUCCCAAAAUAUGCUUAAGAAAAUGAGCAGGGUGUUCAAAAUCUAAUUCAAUUGGCUUAAUCCCAAAAUUAAUAGUCCCAAAAUUUGACUUUUAUAAUCGCCGAGAGUAAAAAUGAUUAUCUUAAGAUUUCAACAAGUCUUAAUAUAUUUUUCUUCACUUUUCUUUCUAGUAAUCAUGACAAUACAAAAAUUGUAACUAAAAAAGAAGAAUUAUGUACUUGGUCAUGAUUCAUGAGGAGACAUAAUGAAUCUUAUAAAAUGAAACCUUUGACUUCAAUUGGAUCUUGAGUCGCACAACCACUCUAGCUUUAUACAUAUUGUGUCUAGAUAUAAUAAAGUUCAAUGGUGCUCGUCGUUAAUUACUGUUAAAUGAUAAUAAAGUUUUAGCAAGAUGAUAUGAAUAUAAAGAGCAAAACAAUUUCGGAAUAUUUUGAGCUGUCAUAUUUACAUAAUUAACUUAACAGCUAAUAUGUUUAUCAAACAUUUACACAGUAAUAAUUAAUAUUAAUAACUUUUGUAACAACUCAAUCCCAAACUUGCCUCUUUUUAAUGUUUUGAAAUUAAACUUUACCUUUAAAUGUGUUGACAGAUAUUGACUCCUCCAAAUUAGCUCCAUCAACUGAAAUUCACCGCCACGUUUCCCCGACAUCUUAGGCGCCAGCAUCAUUUACACGUGGCAAAAAGAUAACUUUACACUUAUUUGAUAAACACAAAAGUAAAACUUCAAUUAAUCAAAUUAGAAAUAAUAGCUACCUGAUGUCCCAAAAUAUUUGUAUGAAGUCACAUAAAUCUUAUCACAACGAACAAAGUAGCUAGCUAUCACUUCUAUUUGGUCCAUUUUUCAUCUGCAUCAUUUUCCUACGUCCUGCAUGAAGGACCAAAAACAGAAGGAGCAGCUGGGGGAUGAAGGGAAAAACCCUAAUGGUCAAAACCCUUGUGGAGAAAACCCUAAUGGAGAAAGCCCUAAAAAGCAAAAUGAUGAUGCUUCACUUGUACGGCAUCCUGUGAAGAGUACUGGUCAUCAUCUGAUCGCUGAUGAUUCUUAUUUUGAUUCAUUCCCGCCUGGUUACCGAUUCAAACCCCACGAUGGAGAACUUGUGGUUUAUUACUUGCGGAGGAAGAUACUGAAUCAGCCAUUGCCUCCAAACCAGAUCAAGGUGGUGGAGUUGUAUAGGUUUAAUCCUAACACACUUACAGGUUAGGGGAAAAAAAAGUCACUUUUAAUUUCUUAUUUUCUCAAUUUCUGUGUUGUAUGUUGUUUUAUUGGCACGCAUCAUAUAUGAUUAAUUUUUUUUAUAAAAAAAUCUGUUUAUUCCUUAUUUCUCGAGAUUAUUAUUUAUUAGAAUGGAAAUUUUCUGAGUCUCGUUAGUGGCUUCUCUACUCUUUAUUAUUCAAAUUUUGUAGUCUUCGCUUGGGAUAUUUGUGGCUUCUCUACUCUUUUUCACGAUAGAUGUUUAUGCCAUUACAUAUAUAAUAUUACAGUGUAUAUUUUAAUGUGAUGCGAUUUUACAUCAGGUAUGAUUUUAGAUUUAGAUGGUGUUGUAAAUCAGCAUAUAAAAUUUAAUCCCCUCAUAUUGAAAACGUUUAUAAUAUGUUAUUUCUUUCGUAUUAGUUUGUCUACAUUUUUUUUGUUUCAUGAUAUCUUUAUGAAAUUUCUUUUAUUCUGUCCACUGAUGCAAUGAUUUACAGAAAGGUACAAGUCACUUGGUGAAAUGGAAUGUUAUUUCCUUACACCAAGAGAUAGAAAAUAUCGAAAUGGUCUAAGACCCAAUCGAGCUGCUGCAGAUGGGUACUGGAAGGCCACAGGAGCUGAUAAACCUGUUAAGCACAAUGGCAGUUUGGUUGGAUUCAAGAAGGCAUUGGUCUUCUACAAGGGAAAAGCUCCAAAGGGUGAUAAGACUAACUGGAUCAUGCAUGAAUACAUAGUGAAUAAUCCACCACAGAAACAAAAAGGCCGAAAUGAUAUGAGGGUAAAUGAUUUUCCUUGUUGUCCAAAUUCAUUUUUAUUUGAUUCUUUUUUUUGGUUUUAUUCGACUAAUUUCUGCUUCAUACAAGUCCCUUGCAGUUAGAUGACUGGGUUCUCUGUAGGAUCUAUAAGAAAACAAAGCAGUCAGCCAAAGCUUCUACUCGAAAACGAGAGGAUUCAGAGGAGGAUCAACAAUCAAGAAGCGAAGUUGCAACUCAAUCUCAAGAUAGUGGACAAACUUCAGUUGAUGAAAAGGCUAAAAUGCUGCCCAAAACAGAAAAUUUCAAGCCUGAAGGCCUUGGAAUCUUUGAUGUGCCUGAUUACUACAACCAGGGAAGAUUCUUCAGCGCAUAUGAUAAUGUCCUUUUAUCUUGUCAGAGUCCAUAUGCUAAUUUUCAGGAUGGUCAUCAGGGUAAUUCUCAGAAUUGGCUUCCUUUAAUCCCUCAGUCGGGGUUUCAGCAAAUGCUCCAUCAUAAUCCUACGUGGGAGAGCCCUAUGAAGCCUGAACAGUUCGGAUAUCCGCCCGAUGAUGUGUUUAGUGAUCUCCCUUCGGAAGACAAUUGUUUUGAUCCUCUACCUCAUAAUUUUACGAACUUAUAACUCUUUUCAUUUUGUGAUUCGAUUAGUUAAUGGUAGCUGACAUUAAUUGGCAUUUAUAAUAAGUUAGUUAGAGUGUACUUUAGUAGAGGUCGGUUUUCUUGAACUCAAUUUUUCUUGCAAUUCUGUGUACUUUGAUUGUUAUUUAUAUGAAUGUCAGCAGCAUGGAUAUUCAAGGAGAGUUGCUAUUUCUAUGGGUGGUAUGCUAAGGCUCCAUUUGCUUUAGCUUUUUGGUACUAAUUCUGUUACCAUUAUCAAAAUAUUUAAAAUAUUUGUAACUCAACUUUGACAGUACAACUGAUUAUUUCUCACAGUUUUCAGUUGUAACGCUCUUUGAACAAGAUUUUCUAAUCACUAAAAUUAUAUACAUAGUUUCCUAGAAUACCAAAUUAUUUACGUGACGAUCAUAUUCUUUGUUUGCCUCAAAGCUUGAGUUGUUUCUUUUAUCUCUCUUAAUUCCAAUUCAAGAGCUGUUUUCAGAAUUUUUUUUCCUUAAAUCCCAAUAGAAAAAAUGUAACGGAACAAUUUGUUAUGAAUGUAAUAAGCCAUAUAUAUCACAAAAAGGAGCAUAAACUGCACGGCUACUAUAUAUUGUUGAAGCUCUAUGAUUUUUAAAUUCUUUAUGAACGAUGUACCUCCGAUGUACUUUUAUUUUUUCUUCUUUUUGUCAUUUUGAGAUAAAUUUUUCUCCUCGAUCUCUUUAGAUGUUCAUAACUAAAUAUUCUUUAAGAUAGAGCGCAAUGUUUUAUCCCUACCACCACAACCCUAUCAUAAAGGAGACUAAAAAUUUGAGUUGGAGAAACAAGAAACUCAAUUCAAUCUAUAGAAAUUAUGAAGCCGUGUGAUAUGAUGAACUAACGGAGCUGCAGAAUGGCCUUUGAAAGUAAUGUUAAAAGCUUAAAACCUUUUUGAGUUUCCUUUAGCAAAUGUCAUAUGCAUUUUCUCUGAUCAAUGCACGAGAAAAUAUAACUUAGAGAUUGUUUAUCAAACGUUAGAAGUUUGUUAUUUGUUUUUGUGAUUUAUGUCUGAUUUUUAGAUAUUUACAUUUGAAUGGAAAAAAUAAAUUUUUAUAUCUUUUAUUUGAAUGGAAAAGGUUUGCAUGAAAAAUAAAUAUUAUAUUCCAAAAAUAUCUGUAUAAAAUAGUUUAUUUCCUCAACUAUAAGAUCUAAUCCUUUUUUGUUUUAAUUUAUGAGGAUAUAAUUAUCAAAGAAUCAAGUUUAAAACCUUUUUUUUUUGUUAUAAAAACAAAUAAGAUGUCAUUUAUACUCAUAUAUUAAAAAAAAAAAAGAAAUCUAAACGUUUCAUUCAAUUUUUUUUUAUUUAAAUCCAUUCAAACUUCUGAAAAAUUCAGAUUCAUUCUAAUUUCAGACUUUAAAAAAAAAUGUUAUCUUACUACAAACUAAAUUCCAAACUUAAUAAAUUAAUAUCAGAUCCCAGCCACAAUUCGCAUAUGAAAUGUUUGAGAACGAAGUUGUGAGAAAAUGCAGUCAGAAUCGACUGCCAUCAAUUAACAAGUUCCUUGGGAGGAAACAUGUUCAAUUUCUUUUUCUUUUUCUUUUUUUCCAAAAUUUUAAUGUGGAAAAUUAAUUCGGAUGCCGGGGUUAGUCCAACCACAGCACUCAUACUGGGCCGUGCGAGUUAAUUUUUGGGCCAAGUUCUUAACAUAUUUACUCAAUAUUUUGGAUGACAAAAUUGCCCAUAAACGCCCUGCAAGGACAUAACUGCAGAAAACAGGCUGGAGUAAAGUAUGCGACUAUGCGGUAACAAAACUUUCGGGACGCCUGCGUUAAUGACUUUUUGUUACUGCCACAAAGCAGUCACAAAAAGGUCAUUUGUGACUGCGGAGUGAUCACAUAAAACUCCUCCUCCUUGUAGUGCCACCUGCAAAAUAAUCCAUACUAGACCUCCUAAUUCUUCAUUUUCAUCCCUAUUAUUAAGUUAACUCGAUUGAAAUAUAUAUUUAUGAAAUUACAUGCACCAACUAUUUAUCGAGAAUUACAUUAAAUUAUGUAUAUAGCUAAUGUAAGAUCAAUUUGGAGAACUAAAAAUAUGUUAAUAAAAAUAGAAAACCGGGUUAUAUCGUUUGUCCCUCUUGUUCAUGUAUCGAUUUUUUUUUUUUAAAUUCCGCGGAACUACUGCAGCUACAGUGCUGGAAAGGAGCAAAUAUGUCGGAUUAUGCUAAGGAUUGCAUUAAAUGAACAAGAAGCUAUCCUAUAUUCUCUCAUUUUGCUAAAAGAUAAGGCAGUGAAAUAACUUCUAUUCUACUUCUACUUUGAAGAAUUUUACUGCUUCUCAAUCAACUACAUCAGCAGAAACUAUCAUAUUUCGCCACAUCAGCUUCAAUGACAGCUACUAAAGCACACAUUCUGGAAUCAUUGAACUCAAUCAUAACCAUCAAAUCAUUGACCACCGAUAGAUUGGCAUCUUAACUGAAUCCAAAGGAUAAAUCGCCUUCCGAAAACCGUUUGAUAAACCGAUCAGUUAGAAAAAGUAUCUACUUUAUUUAAUGUUAUAUAAUCCAAAUAAAUUAGUAUAAAAUAAGCCCCUAAUAGGAUUCUAGGGUUUUGAUUAGAGAAUUAAGAGAGAAUAGAUGAAGAAGUUAAAGAGAAGGGAGAAGAAUUAAUAGGAAUUAAAAUUAAUUUUAUUACUUGCGUCCUAAAAACAUAAUAAGAACCACUUACUUAUAGUAGUUCAAGACAAUCCUAAUUGUAAUUUAAUAAGGACUUUAAUUGAAAUAAGAAAAGCUAAUACUAAUAGGAAAGAAAUUAAAACAAGCAAUUAAAAUAAAAUAAACUAUUAGGGCCCUAACAGCCCCCAUGCAUCUGAUCACAACAAAUAUUCUUGAUGUAUCUGAUCACAACAAAUAUUCUUGUGAGGUCAAUUUUAUAGGGAAAGCAGCGUCUCCUUCAAGUUUCGGUAAAAGUUAUCAAUGCCGGACCAGCAGCAGGGAGAUAAGGACCAAGACCCUAACGGCCAAGACCGCAAUGGUAAAAACCCUAAUGGCCAAGGCCCUAAAGGAAAAAGGCCUAUAGAUCAUACUCGUGAUGCUUCACCACCUGUGCGGAAUCGGAUGAAUGCUGCUAAGGGUCCUGAGUUCGAUGAUAACUUUCCUCCUGGUUACAGGUUCAAGCCUCACGACAUAGAGCUUCUAGUUCAUUACUUGCGGAGGAAGAGAAUGAAUGAACCUUUGCCACCAAAUCGGAUUAAGGAAGUUCACUUGUACAAAUUUAAUCCUGAUACACUUUCAGGUUAAAAAUACCCACCACCCCAUUUCUCUUUUUUGUUUCUUUUGUUUUUUUGCAAUUGCCUUGCUGGUAUUUUUCUUUAAAUUAAGUAAUGCACUUACGCAUAUUAAGUUCUUUCUUUUUCUUGAGUUCAUUUGGUUAUUAAUUAGAGUGUAACUUCUUGAGUUUCUUGAAAUGGUUUAGUUUCUUGAGUUAGAAGUGUUUCCUUUGCGUUCGUUAUACAUAUAGUCUCAUAAUUUGAUUUGUUUUCGUACUUUGGUAAUGCUCUUAGCGCUUUUCUUGAGUUCAUUUGUAAUUGGAGUGGGCAUUUCUUGAGUUUCUUGAAAUAAAAUGGUCUGCUCUUCAGUUUCUUGAGUUAAAAGUUACUUCUUUGCGUUGUUGAAUGCUGAUUUAAUUUUCUACAUAUGGUCUCGUAGUUUGGUGCUUGUAUGUAUCCAAAACAAAGACUAUAAAUAUUUAUGUUGAUAUUAUUCCGUAUUCCAUAUAAUGGAAUCAGGAAGUGUAGAUCUUUUUUUUUUUUUUGGGUGAUUGAUACAAUGAUGAUUCUGUAUUAAUAAUGCACAGAAAAGUAUAAGCCGUUUGGUGAGAAUGAAUGGUACUUUUUUACUCCAAGAGAGAGAAAGUACAAAAACGGGACAAGACCCAAUAGAGCUGCUGGAGAUGGAUUCUGGAAGGCAACUGGAGCUGACAAACCUAUCAAAAACGACGACGUUGUCGUUGGAUUCAAGAAGGCAUUGGUCUUCUACAUGGGAAAACCCCCAAGGGGAGAUAAAACUGAAUGGAUAAUGCAUGAAUUUAGAUUGGAGGGUCCUCCAAGGACCAGAAUCAGUGGAGAUGACAUGAGGGUAACUAAAUUUUGUAGCUUCUUUCUGUGUCAUAUGUGAUGUGUUGCAGCAAUUUUACAAUGUUGGUUUGCUGAUGAGUUUUGCUUUUAUAUAUUAUGUUGAUUGCAGUUAGAUGAUUGGGUACUGUGUAAGAUAUAUAAGAAAAGGGACCAGGAUAGAUCUAAGCUGUCGUCUUCAAGACCUUCAACUUCGCAACGGGAUGAUUCAAUUUCAGGCCAAGAUGAUCCACAAUCAGACACUGAAUUUCAGGAUAAUGGAGCCAUUGAUAUGGGAGUUGAAGACUCUGCUACGCUGCCCAAUGAAACUUUCAUGCCUCACGGUCCUGAAGGUCCUCGAAUCAUUGAUAUGUCUGGUUUCUACAAUCAGGGAGGAUUUCUCAAUUCAUAUGAUGAUACUUUCAUUUAUCAUCAGAGCCACUUUGUUAAUCACAAUGUCCCAUAUUCUCAAGGCAGGGUUCCUGAAAUGCCUAAUUACUAUGUUCCAUAUGCUCAAGGCAGGGUCACUGGAAUGCCUAAUCACAAUGUUCCCUAUUCUCAAGGAAGGCUCCCUCGAUUGGCUAAUCACAAUGUUUCAGAUUCUCAAGGAAGGUUCCCUGGAAUGACAAAUCAAAAUGUUUCAGUUUCAGUUUCUCAGGGGAGGUUCCCUACAAUUGCUCCUUAUUCGUAUAACAAUUCUAUGGGGCAGAGCUCUCCAUGGACUCAACAUAUAAUGAUUCCGACUGCUAAUCAGAAUCCUAAUGAAGCUGCCGAAUCAUCAGCAGCAGCAAGGGGAAGACCUUUCCAGGCAUAUCCUCAUCAACAUAUGUUUGCUACUUCAAAUCGGAAUCCUAAUCAACCUGCAGAAAUAUCAUCAUCAGCAGCAGCAAGACCUUUCCAGACAUAUCCUCAUCAUCAUAUGUUUGCUACUUCUAAUCAAGUGGCAGAAUCAUCAUCAGCUGCAGCAGCAAGACCAUUUCAAGGUUUGGAGAGCGAUAUGAAAUUUGAACAGUUAAAUGAAUGUCCCCCGGAUGAUUUUUUGAAGGACCCUUCUGACGACAAUUGCUUUGAUCCGGAUUAUCAUAACUCCCGGAAAUUCUAACUCUGCCAUUUUUUUAUCCUUCGAUGAUCGAUGAUGACUGGCUUUGACAGAUUUGUUGAUUGAAAACGUAGUCAUAGUUACUACUAACUUUGUGCUUGACGUGAACAUUUCCAUAGAUUUUUCUCUAGGACGAUUAAUGGAUUAUUUUCUUAGAGGACUCUAUCUUCUAUUUUAGUUGUGGACCCAAUUUCUCUCACUUUGCAAGUGCCUCAUGUUGAUAGAUUUUAAAUUUGUCUUGAUUGCCAUGCAAAUUUUUAAAUAAGGUGGAUGUGGCUAUCCUUUUAUAAAUCACACUGAUUCAUAAAUAUUAUUCCCGCUUCCUAUGUCAUUAAAAGUAUAGAUUUUUGGUUUGUUAUAAUAUAUGACAUGGGGAACCCGGCUGAAACUUUUUUGGUUCAAUUACAAUGGUUACGCGUUGCCCAUUUGGUUACUUUAUAUUUUGUUGACAUAGGGUUACAAGCUUCUGGCAGCUGCUGUUUCUUCUGGAUAUAUAUAAUGCUAUUACAUUUUCCAUGGGGUAUGCCCUAUUUUUUCAGCCUUAAAAACUUUCAUGGUCUCCCUCGAUGUUUUCAGAAUCCUAAGAGGGAAGUGGGGAAAUCUAAUGCUACAAUAUAGUAAAUCCAAAACCAUUUCUCUUUGAUCUGGCAACUUCUGGGUGUCCACUAGAACAUACUAGAAAACAAAUUUUCAUGGAAGUGGCAUCGCAUUAUUUGUCGGUGGAUAUGCCAAAUGCUCAGGAGUAGGUGGAAAUAACCUAGGAAGCAAGUAGCAACUAUGCUCAUCUCUCCUGUAAAAUAAUGCCCGCAAGCAAUUUGACUGGCUUAAAGUUAUGACAAAGAUGCCCAUUUUCAAUGUGCACUUGUUUUUGCUAUCCAGCUGUUCAGUUCUCAACUCACCCCACCAACCAACUAUACAUUUCAAUAUUUGGCGAACAUUCGAUGCACUAACCAGCAGCUCCAAUAAAUAGCCUGGAACUCAGUAUUCUCAAGUGUGUCAAACUAAGUUGCAUAACGUUCCCGAAGUCAAUGCCUUGCUAUUCUUAUUCUUCUUAUCCAAUUUUCUUGUUCUCUUUUAUUGUCACAAGCUCUUUCAUUGUUGCAAAUGCUGGUAAUUUUAACAAAGAUGUUGAUAUUACAUGGGGUGAUGGACGUGCCAAGAUUCUCAACAAAGGCAAGCUUCUUACUCUGUCUCUCGACAAAGCAUCUGGCUCUGGCUUCCAGUCUAAGAAUGAAUUUUUCUAUGGAAAAUUUGAUAUGCAGCUCAAGCUUGUUCCCAACAACUCUGCUGGCACUGUCACUGCCUACUAUGUAAGCUCCUUAAUGAAAGAUUCUUUUUCCCUUUCACAUAUAAUUUGUUUGUCAGUCGUCACAUCAUUAUGUUGAUACGUAGACUUGCUAUGGUGCAGCUAAAAUCUCCAGGGGCAUCAUGGGAUGAAAUAGACUUCGAAUUCCUGGGGAAUUUGAGUGGCAACCCUUACAUUGUUCACACAAAUGUCUACACACAAGGAUAAGGUGACAGAGAGCAACAAUUCUACCUCUGGUUUGAUCCCACUGCCGAUUUUCACACUUAUUCAAUCCUCUGGAAUCCAGGUCACAUUGUGUUAGUACAUACACAACCCUGAUGUGAGCGAAAUUCGAAUCCUGGAUUUAAUUUUAUCAAGCUCGCAUUAACUUUUUAUUACAUUUUCUUUUUGUUCAGCUUCUAUAUCGAUGGCAGACCCAUCAGAGAAUUCAAGAAUCUCGAAUCAUUCGGCAUUCCGUAUCCCAAAAAACAAUCAAUGAGAAUGUAUGCUAGCCUGUGGAAUGCCGAUGACUGGGCUACAAGAGGGGGCCUGGCGAAAACAGACUGGUCUCAGGCUCCCUUCACUGCUUCCUUCGGAAACUUCAAUGCAAAAGCUUGUGUUUUGUCCAUCGGAAUAUCUUCUUGCAGCUCGAAUCCCGCAACUAAAAAUACAUGGUUUUCACAGGAGCUCGACUCUUCAAGCCAAAGGAAGCUAAAAUGGGUGCAGCAAAAUUACAUGGUUUACAAUUAUUGCGCAGACACAAGUUGGUUCCCUCAGUGCCUCCCCCAAGAAUGCACCAACAAAAAUUAGGACGAUGAAUCUUUUCUAAUCCAUUCAGUGUUUGGAAAUUCGUAUUUCAAUUAUAUUUUUAUUCUUUCUUCUACUUUUCUCAAUAGGGUUUCUUGAUUGCCAUCAAUCAUAUAACAUAAGAAUAUCGCUUCCCACUUGAUGCAUCUAAAUAAUAGUAAUAAAUGAUGUAGGAUGGUUUCAUCAAAAUUCAUUUUUCUUUUUAUUUUUUCAUUUUGGACUUCGGUUGGCAUCCUCAUCAUUAGAUAAUUAUUCUACAAAGUAAUAUAAUAUAUUAUUUACCCUUAUUAUAUAUGCCAAUUAUCAAGAAGAAAUGGGUAGGUAUUGAUAUUAAGGACUCAUCAGGUCCCUGCUAGGCCCAAAUGAAAUUAGUUCAAGAAUCAUGAACCUUGCAGGCCGAGCUCUAAUGGGCCAUUUAUGAUUUGCAUAAGUAUCCCAAACUUCUUCCAAAGAUAACUGCAAAAAAUUUAACAAAGUUGAUUGUUUUCCUCAAAUCGAACAAUAUUCAGAUUUUGUUCAGUGUUCAAUUACCCUAAGAAUUUUCUUUCCUAACUCAUGCAGAGCAAUCCAUAAUCUCAUUUCGCCAUGGCUUUUAUCCAAGUCACAUGUAGCCGCCCAUGCAUGGGGAGAUUGUAUAUUACAUUGAAAAUUUAUACCGUUAUGAUACUGCUCACAGGAAACAUGUCACCAAGUGUUAAGAAAGACGAGUUAUAUAAUACGUAAUUAACUAAUCACUGAACCCAAAGCAUGCGCCAACAAUGUCCUAAUUUGCCUCAACGACUUGUUUAUUAAGGCAAAGCCGGCCAGGGUCUUUUGAGAAAGCUUCAGCCAAGAUGCUGGAAGAGAGUGCUAGAGAGUGUUAAAGUGUAAUUUCCUUUACAAUAUGUUUGAACUGACACUUUGAAUGUCUUGAAAUUAAUACCAAUUUUUUUUGGGAUACUGCAUGUUAUAAUCAUUCUCAGGUGUGGACGCCGUAUUUUUUUUAAUACGGAUACACUUUUAUACUGUGUUGUUUAAAAGAUUUAGUUUUUAAAUGAACUGUAAAAUCGUAGGGCUUAAGUGAGUUAAAAGUUAAUUUUCUUAAAUUCUACGGUUUUAAAGUAUAUUCGCAUGAAAAUAAAAUAAGGAUGUCCACACUAUAAAAAGACUACUGCAUGUUAUAAGAAAGGUUAAAAAAAUUUUAUGAAUCAAUUUGUGGGUUGCAUGAACAGACUUCGUACUCAACUGUCAUUAUUCUUUGGACCUACAUUCUGGUUUCUCUCCUUUUUUUGUUUAAAUAAAGAAUCAAAUCUCUUUAUCUCGGCUUACUGUUGCAAGAAAAUUAAAAAGUACAAACCAAGAGAACGAAUACAAUACAACAUAAUCUGUUCCCCAACCCUCGAGGUAAUUAAUGGAAAGUGGGCAACAAUGUAUUUGACAGCAUUUCAAUAGAAGGAUGAUAUUCUGGUUUAUUUUCAAGGAUAGAUUGUGUUCGAGUAACAAUGUUUUAGAUGAUAUAUCACCAGCUGGCCUUUUGUAUCGUAGUCAUCUAAUGGACCCCCGUUCCUUGACCUGAUCCUGUUCACAAGUACGACAAUGACUAACCGACCGUCUGUCAAAUGCUUGAAAGAAUUUGACGCGGGAUUGAGCCCCAAGGACUGUGGUGGUGGAAUCGGCAGAAGCAAAAGUACAACCUAAACCCGUAUCUACAUAGAUAUGUGCGAGUACCGGAUAAUCAUGAUCGCAAUUCAAGAUCAAGUGGGUAUGCAUGCAGGCACCGAACCCCAUUUGGAAUUUGGGGCCAUGUCAUAUAAUCUGUCUGCAAAUGAGAAACAGCCAAAUUUGCCUCUCUUUCAAUUCAUGGCACAGCCAGCUGUUGACAACUUUGCACUCUCAGAAACGGCAAACAUGAAACAACCAUCCAAACGCACCCUCUUCUUCACUCUUCUUUUGUCCAUUUCUAUACUCCAAUCCCCUAUAUAAUAUUACAUUACAUCCAUGCAAAACUAGUAAUAAUUUAUGCACUAUUCAGUAUAGCGAGCUCCAGAUCCCAAAAUCCUGAAAGAUAUGGGUUCUGAUUCGUUUGGGGUGAUGAUGUGUACUUUUGUUGGGCGUUUAGCUGCUGUUUCUGCUGGUAAUUUCAAUGAGGAAUUUGAUAUCACAUGGGGAGAUGGUCAUGGGAAAAUAUUCAACAACGGCCAACUGCUUACUCUCAAUCUCGACCAUUACUCUGGCUCAGGCUUCCAGUCCAAGAAACAAUACUUAUUCGGCAAGAUUGAUAUGCAACUCAAGCUUGUCCCUCGCAACUCUGCUGGCACUGUCACUGCUUAUUAUGUACGCUUUUCUUUUUAUCAACACCUGCUGUUUUCAUUGAUUUCUUUGUAAUGAUGCUAAUUAAUAUUAAUUAUGAGAGUCUUUGAUGUUGUAGCUACGCUCACAAGGACCAACAUGGGAUGAGAUAGACUUUGUAUUCUUGGGAAACCUCAGUGGUCAUCCGUACACAGUUCACACAAAUGUGUACAGCCAAGGCAAGGGUGACAGAGAGCAGCAAUUUCAUCUCUGGUUUGACCCCACAGUCAACUUUCACACUUAUUCAGUUCUCUGGAAUCCUCAACGCAUUGUGUAAAGUCCAUUUCUCUCUUAUUAGUAUGUCAUUCGCUUCUACAAUUUUAUUGACUUGUGUUGUUCAAUUAAUUGCAUUAUUUCAGCUUCUCUGUUGAUGGUAUUCCAAUUAGAGAGUUCAGAAACCUGGAGGCUAUAGGCGUUCCAUUACCAAAGAAUCAGCCAAUGAGAAUAUACUCAUCUCUUUGGAAUGCUGAUGACUGGGCUACAAGAGGUGGGCUAAUCAAGACGGAUUGGAGCCAAGCUCCUUUCACUGCUUCUUACAGAAAUUUCAAGGUUGAUGGUAGCCGUGCCUGGCUCUUGCAACAAAUGGAUUCCACAAACCAACGGAGGCUUUACUGGGUGCGGAAGAAUCACAUGAUUUACAAUUACUGCACUGACACCAAGCGAUUUCCCCAGGGCUUUCCCAAAGAAUGCGCUGUCCAUUAAAGCUGGCUGUUCCAAAAACUUUAGCGCCUAGGUACAGGAGCUGUCUUGUAUAACAUAACAUUAAAUGAUAAAAUGUAAGCUAAUUAGUAGUGAGGGAUGCCUUUAGCACUAUCCGAAUUAGGUAGUCGGCUGGUUUUGUAUUUUGAAUAGCUAUUUAUUAACAUAAUAAUAAUAUUUAUUUUAAGAUUCUAAUUUUUUAAAGUUGCGUAUAUAUUGAAGGAAAAUUUAAUUUUUAGGAAUCUCCCUAUUAUUAUUCUCAUUCAUAAUUAUCUCUAUAUUUAAUAAUCUUUACUUUAAAAAUAAUUUUUUUUAUAAAAAUGUGAUAUUUAUGGUAUAAUAAUUAUUCUAAGCCUUUGAAACUUUAUUUGGUUAAUAAUUACAAGAAAAAAAUUCAACGUUUUCCCUUUCCCAAAAAUAACUACUCUAUUAAAAUUAUAAAUGUUAGAUUUUAAAACAUCUAGUAUUCUAUUCAUUCUAUUUCAAACUUCAAAACUAAUAGAUAUUGAAUCAAUGAUACUCACCCAAAAAAAAUUUCUCUCAUAUCUACUCGGAAUAUUAUUCUAAUCUUCCCUAUAAACUUCAUUGCCAGCAUCUAACAUUUGACUAUCAUAUUCAUCUCAACUAAUCAACCUUUUACGUGCUAUCGUUCUAAUUUUCUAUUUUAAUUUAUUAUUAUUAUUUUUUAAAUUUAUUAUAUUUUUUUAUUUGUUGCAUUAAUAUAUGACUUGAAUCAGUUAUGAAGUUUGUGAUUUGUAUAGCAUAAAUGUUGAUAAUUGACAAAUUUAACAAACAUGGUGAGCUUAGUUAAUGUUCUUUUAGAAAUAAAUAUAUAUCUUUUCAUUUAUUAUUAUUAUCUGCUGUACCGUACAUCUCUGGUUUGACCCCACAGUCAACUUUCACACUUAUUCAGUUCUCUGGAAUCCUCAACGCAUUGUGUAAAGUCCAUUUCUCUCUUAUUAGUAUGUCAUUCGCUUCUACAAUUUUAUUGACUUGUGUUGUUCAAUUAAUUGCAUUAUUUCAGCUUCUCUGUUGAUGGUAUUCCAAUUAGAGAGUUCAGAAACCUGGAGGCUAUAGGCGUUCCAUUACCAAAGAAUCAGCCAAUGAGAAUAUACUCAUCUCUUUGGAAUGCUGAUGACUGGGCUACAAGAGGUGGGCUAAUCAAGACGGAUUGGAGCCAAGCUCCUUUCACUGCUUCUUACAGAAAUUUCAAGGUUGAUGGUAGCCGUGCCUGGCUCUUGCAACAAAUGGAUUCCACAAACCAACGGAGGCUUUACUGGGUGCGGAAGAAUCACAUGAUUUACAAUUACUGCACUGACACCAAGCGAUUUCCCCAGGGCUUUCCCAAAGAAUGCGCUGUCCAUUAAAGCUGGCUGUUCCAAAAACUUUAGCGCCUAGGUACAGGAGCUGUCUUGUAUAACAUAACAUUAAAUGAUAAAAUGUAAGCUAAUUAGUAGUGAGGGAUGCCUUUAGCACUAUCCGAAUUAGGUAGUCGGCUGGUUUUGUAUUUUGAAUAGCUAUUUAUUAACAUAAUAAUAAUAUUUAUUUUAAGAUUCUAAUUUUUUAAAGUUGCGUAUAUAUUGAAGGAAAAUUUAAUUUUUAGGAAUCUCCCUAUUAUUAUUCUCAUUCAUAAUUAUCUCUAUAUUUAAUAAUCUUUACUUUAAAAAUAAUUUUUUUUAUAAAAAUGUGAUAUUUAUGGUAUAAUAAUUAUUCUAAGCCUUUGAAACUUUAUUUGGUUAAUAAUUACAAGAAAAAAAUUCAACGUUUUCCCUUUCCCAAAAAUAACUACUCUAUUAAAAUUAUAAAUGUUAGAUUUUAAAACAUCUAGUAUUCUAUUCAUUCUAUUUCAAACUUCAAAACUAAUAGAUAUUGAAUCAAUGAUACUCACCCAAAAAAAAUUUCUCUCAUAUCUACUCGGAAUAUUAUUCUAAUCUUCCCUAUAAACUUCAUUGCCAGCAUCUAACAUUUGACUAUCAUAUUCAUCUCAACUAAUCAACCUUUUACGUGCUAUCGUUCUAAUUUUCUAUUUUAAUUUAUUAUUAUUAUUUUUUAAAUUUAUUAUAUUUUUUUAUUUGUUGCAUUAAUAUAUGACUUGAAUCAGUUAUGAAGUUUGUGAUUUGUAUAGCAUAAAUGUUGAUAAUUGACAAAUUUAACAAACAUGGUGAGCUUAGUUAAUGUUCUUUUAGAAAUAAAUAUAUAUCUUUUCAUUUAUUAUUAUUAUUAUUAUUUGAUCUUUUUGGUAAUUGUUGAAAUUCACCAAAAAUGUAAAAUCUGGGGACGUCGGACGUCCAUACUGUAUGUUCUAUUUACAUCCAAGUCCCUUUAUGUUAUUAUUAUUAUUAUUUGAUUGAGAAAACCAAAGGUUGCAAUUAUUAGGUGUAUUAACCGUUCACGCCCCCAAUCAAGAAGAUGCUCAAUCCCAAAAUGCCAUAAAGCUUGGAUCCUAAAUUUGUGAACAUGCAUGAAUACUACAUGAAAGAAUCAAAGAUGAAUAUAAGAAUUAAAUAACUGGAUACAAUUGUGAUUGUAUUUGUUCUUGAUUUAUCUUUUUAUUGUCAUGUUACUGUUGGGUGUACUAUUUUAACAGGACAUUAAAAAAAAAAUCUCGGAGUGGGUGUCGGUGAAUUUUAAUCGUUUGCUUGCAAGAUGUUUGAUAAAAGUCCCAAAUGAGAGAAGUCGUUUUAAUGGCAAUAGAAUAUUUUGCUAGUCCUUACCCGUUAAGUCAGUCAAAAAUUUAGAGUACCAUUGCAUAUGUGAAGAGGUUUGGUCGUUUCUACGUUAAAACCUAGCCAAAGAAGAACAUAUAGCAAGCAUGCGAAGAGUAGAGAACAUAAUCUCAUGAUAUUUAUAUGCUAAAUUUUGUAUUACAUUGAGAAAGUUGGACUAAUUUGCCAUUUUAUUGACGACAAAAUACAACAAAGAAUCAAAGAAUUGACAAAAAGAAUAAAUUUUUUUGAUGUAUGUGUUGAUUUUGCAAAACUUCUAAGAGGUUCUGCAUUCUGCAGGGAGUCCCUGGGGAAAUCUCUUUGCAUCAGCGCAAUAAUUGUAAAUCAUGUAAUUCUUCUGCACCCAUUUCAGCCUUUCUUGACUUGUUGAAUCAAGCUCUUGUGAGAACCAGGCACUGCUGCUGGAUGGAGAGGAAGGUGAACUUGAAGCGCAAGAAGAUUUUCCAUUAGACCAGACACAGGCAUCAGCGUUGAAGUUUCUGUAGGAAGCCGUGAAGGGAGCAUGCGUCCAAUCUGUCUUGACAAGGCCACCUCUUGUAGCCCAGUCAUCAGCAUUCCAGAGAGAUGAGUAUAUUCUCAUUGGCUGAUUCUUUGGGAAUGCAACUCCAAUUGACUCUGAGUUCUUGAACUCUCUUAUGGGAGUACCAUCCACAGAGAAGCUGAAAAUUAAGUAAACAUUGAUAAGUCUAAGCAGAUUGAAUGACAAGGAAAGAAGAAAUGAUGGAGAUUGAAGGAAAAUAUUGCUUACACAAUGCGCUGAGGAUUCCAGAGGAUAGAAUAGGUGUGAAAGUCAGCAGUGGGGUCAAACCAGAGGUGAAAUUGUUGUUCUUUGUCACCUUUGCCAUUUGUGAAUACAUUGGUAUGCAGAGUGUAAGGGUCACCACUUAAAUUCCCCAAGAACUCGAAGUCUAUCUCAUCCCAUGUUGAUCCUGGCGAUUUUAACUGCGUGAACAAAAAGUCAAAGGUCUAUAUGUCAGAUACAUGAUGAUCAAACAUGCAUAUUGUUUAUUCAUAUAAAGGCAGGAACUUACAUAAUAAGCAGUGACAGUGCCGGCAGAGUUGCCAGGGACUAGUUUGAGUUGCAUAUCAAUCUUGCCGAAUAGAUACUCAUUCUUGGACUGGAAGCCGGAGCCAGAGGCUUUAUCAAGGGAAAGAGUAAGAAGCUGGCCGUUGUUGAGUAUAUUAGCACGCCCGUCUCCCCAAGUGAUAUCAAAAUCUUGGUGGAAGUUACCAGCAGAGGCAACCAUCAAAGAGCCAAGAAGCAGCAGCGACAGAUGCAAUACUGAAGCCAUGGAAGCUUUCGUCUGAGCAACAACAAGAUAGAAGAAUUUGAGUUGGAGAGAAGUUUGAAAUUUUUGAAAGUGAAGCGAUGAGUGUGUUUGGGAUCUCACCAGGGUUUGGUAUUUAUAGCUUGAUUGAGCUGGUGAAGGUGAGUAUAACGAAAGCAGAGGAAAGUAAUGGGAAGCUCCAGUUAGUUCAGCUUCAGCUGUGGCCAGUUGUUUGCGUAAAAUAGCGUGAUGAAAUAAAAACAGCUGUCCGAAUCGCACUAACAGAACACGCUACAACAGGGACUUUUUUUUUUAUUACAAUACGCGGCUUUGCAUUACUUUUGAGACUCAAGUACUUAUUAUGUACUGCUGUUCUGUUCCCACCACCGGCUGACUCUUAUUAGAUUUUUUUUUUUUUCCAACCACCGCCAGUCAAAACACAAAAAAGAAAAUGUAGAAUUCACUGGGUGCUCUUCUCUCUCGAGAUUUUUUUUUUCCAUUUUAUGCUCAAAAGAAAAAGAAAAAAAAUUGUUCAAUGACGUACUUAAUUAACAGAUUUUUUUUUAUAACUAUAUUUAUUAUCAGGAAAUCAUUUGGUUCAAAAGCUUAAGACGUUAAACAGGAGUCCAGAAAAUAGCAUUAAAGUGUUGAAAGACCUGCCCGUGUGAAACAUGGAUCCAGUUUGAAGGUCAUGUCGUUCCAAAAGCGGAGAUAGGAGAUUGAAUUAGAGGUUCUUGAACAUACAAGAAUUGAAACAUAUACGUGUGUUAUUCGCAAAAAAUUGAGCACGCUGAGAUUUGAACAAGAAACCUUUGCUAUGUAAAAACGAAAAUGGCUUGACCCAAGAAAAUUAAAGACAAGUCUUUACUGGAGUCCCUAACAUGAAACAUGGAUCUAACAUCUAAGAAAUAUGUAUCCCUAUAUUUCCGAUACAGAUGCUUCCUAGUAACAUGAAACUGUGAAUUUGUAUCCUAAUUUUAGGUUAAUUGAUAACACAUACUUCCUGGUGAUUUCCUGUGUAAUAAAACGCAUAUGGAAUUGGAAGAUAUGCUUAUUAUUAUUAUUAAGGAAUUUAUAGAUAUUGGUAUUUAAAUCGAACGGACUGAAGAUUUUGCUGUUUUGUAUACUACCACUUAUACUAGAGAAUGUUUUAUUUGUUUAACUGGAAAGGCGGUGGUGGCAUGGCGAGGUUGGCUCGCCUUGAAAUAUCAACACUCGAGAGCUGGCUCGCACCUUGUCCUCCUAUCAAUCUCUCAUUGUUAAUUAACAAGCACAUUCCUCAUCCAAUAACGGUAUGCAUCACUCUUCCUCAUCGACUUGUGUAAGUUCACUCGGUUAGUUUUUUUAAUUUUAUUUUUGCCAUUUUACCCUUUUACUGCCUUAUCAAAUACUAAUCAAUGGCCAAAAUUUCUCCUCGAUUGACACAAAUACGGUAACGCCCACGCGCAGUACAUUUUCUUCUCAUUCUGGUGGAGACUCAUUUGCUCUUUUAUCUUCAUGCUUCCUCGAUAAUUCUUCAUAUUCCAAUCUAGGGUCUAAAAGCUUUAUUAAUGAGUCAUCAUGUCAAUACCUUUAAUUAGGCUUAUAACUAUAUGCUAAAGCUUACGAAGAAUAACAACAAAGAAGAACAAAAUCUUUUGAAAUAGUAAUAUUAUGUUUACUUAGUUAGCAUACUUAAUUUGUAUACCACGCAAGUACGCAUAACAUUAUCCUUUUUUAAAUUCAUUAACCAGUGUUACAUAUGGUAAAAAUUGGACUAACAUGCCAUUUUAUUGAUUACAGAGAAACAAAGAAUCUGACUCCAGAAUCUACAUGAAUUGAAUAACCAUUGAAUGAUUACACGAAAGAAUAAAAUAAUUUUUAAGUGUCUUGUUGAUUAUUUUCUCUAGGAGAUUCUGCAUUCUGCAGGAAGGCCCUGAGGAAAUCUCUUUGUAUCAGUGCAGUAAUUGUAAAUCAUGUAAUUCUUCUGCACCCAUUUCAGCCUACUUUGAUUUGUUGAAUCUAGCUCUUGUGAGAACCAAGCACCGUUGCUGGAUGUAGAGGAAGCAGAAUUUGAAGCGCAAGAAGAUUUUCCAUUAGACCAAACACAAGCUUCAGCAUUAAAGUUUCUGUAGGAAGCAGUGAAAGGAGCAUGCGUCCAAUCUGUCUUCACGAGGCCACCUCUUGUGGCCCAGUCAUCAGCAUUCCAAAGAGAAGAGUAUAUUCUCAUUGGCUGAUUCUUUGGGAAUGGAACGCCAAUUGACUCUGAGUUCUUAAAUUCUCUUAUUGGGGUGCCAUCAACAGAGAAGCUGAAAAUUAAGUAAACAUUGAUAAGUCUAAGCAGAUUGAACGACAAGGAAAAAACAAACGAUGGAGAUUGAAGGAAAAUAUUGCUUACAUAAUGCGCUGAGGAUUCCAGAGGAUAGAAUAGGUGUGAAAGUCAGCAGUGGGGUCAAACCAGAGGUGAAAUUGUUGCUCUCUGUCACCUUUGCCAUUUGUAAAUACAUUGGUAUGAAGAGUGUAAGGGUCACCACUUGAAUUUCCCAGGAAUUCAAAGUCUAUCUCAUCCCAUGUUGAUCCCGGUGAUUUUAGCUGCAUUAGAAAAAAAAAAAAGAAGAUAUUUAUAUGUAUCAUCACAUAUGAUUAUUCAACUACGAGCCCUUUUGCAAACAUAAUACUUGCGUAUGAUUAAGUUGUAUUAAAAGGAGGAACUUAC
rnacentral:lncRNA from 1 species